CAACCUGCCGACAACACUGGGAUAGCCUUUCGAAAGAAAGAUUAAUACCGGAUGGCAUAGUCUUCCCGCAUGGGAUAAUUAUUAAAGAAUUUCGGUUGUCGAUGGGGAUGCGUUCCAUUAGGCAGUUGGCGGGGUAACGGCCCACCAAACCAACGAUGGAUAGGGGUUCUGAGAGGAAGGUCCCCCGCAUUGGAACUGAGACACGGUCCAAACUCCUACGGGAGGCAGCAGUGAGGAAUAUUGGUCAAUGGACGAGAGUCUGAACCGGCCAAGUAGCGUGAAGGAUGACUGCCCUAUGGGUUGUAAACUUCUUUUAUACGGGAAUAAAGUGAGCCACGUGUGGCUUUUUGUAUGUACCGUAUGAAUAAGGAUCGGCUAACUCCGUGCCAGCAGCCGCGGUAAUACGGAGGAUCCGAGCGUUAUCCGGAUUUAUUGGGUUUANAGGGAGCGUANGCGGNNUGNUAAGUCAGUUGUGAAAGUUUGCGGCUCANCCGUAAAAUUGCAGUUGAUACUGGNNNNNUUGAGUGCNACAGAGGNAGGCGGAAUUCGUGGUGUAGCGGUGAAAUGCUUAUAUAUCACNAANAACUCCNAUNG
rnacentral:rRNA from 1 species